rnacentral:misc_RNA from 1 species
AAGUCGUAACAAGGUAACCGUAGGUGAACCUGCGGUUGGAUCAUUACCAAUCCUGACUCGCAAGAGUCUCAACACCAUGUGCACCUUUUGUUGUCUCUGGGUGCCCUCGGGCGCCCAACCGUAUACACUCUACUAUGUGUCUUAAUCUAUAUAAUAGAAACAACUUUUGACAACGGAUCUCUUGGCUCUC